ACCAUGCACCGAAGCUGCGGCAGCGACACUAUGUGUUGUUGGGUAGGGGAGCGUUCUGUAAGCCGUCGAAGGUGUGCUGUGAGGCAUGCUGGAGGUAUCAGAAGUGCGAAUGCUGACAUAAGUAACGAUAAAGCGGGUGAAAAGCCCGCUCGCCGGAAGACCAAGGGUUCCUGUCCAACGUUAAUCGGGGCAGGGUGAGUCGACCCCUAAGGCGAGGCCGAAAGGCGUAGUCGAUGGGAAACAGGUUAAUAUUCCUGUACUUGGUGUUACUGCGAAGGGGGGACGGAGAAGGCUAUGUCAGCCGGGCGACGGUUGUCCCGGUUUAAGCAUGUAGGCGGAGGUUCCAGGUAAAUCCGGAACCUUGUUAACGCUGAGGUGUGAUGACGAGGCACUACGGUGCUGAAGCAACAAAUGCCCUGCUUCCAGGAAAAGCCUCUAAGCAUCAGGUAACAUCAAAUCGUACCCCAAACCGACACAGGUGGUCAGGUAGAGAAUACCAAGGCGCUUGAGAGAACUCGGGUGAAGGAACUAGGCAAAAUGGUGCCGUAACUUCGGGAGAAGGCACGCUGAUAUGUAGGUGAAGCCCCUGCGGGUGGAGCUGAAAUCAGUCGAAGAUACCAGCUGGCUGCAACUGUUUAUUAAAAACACAGCACUGUGCAAACACGAAAGUGGACGUAUACGGUGUGACGCCUGCCCGGUGCCGGAAGGUUAAUUGAUGGGGUUAGCGGCAACGCGAAGCUCUUGAUCGAAGCCCCGGUAAACGGCGGCCGUAACUAUAACGGUCCUAAGGUAGCGAAAUUCCUUGUCGGGUAAGUUCCGACCUGCACGAAUGGCGUAAUGAUGGCCAGGCUGUCUCCACCCGAGACUCAGUGAAAUUGAAAUCGCUGUGAAGAUGCAGUGUACCCGCGGCAAGACGGAAAGACCCCGUGAACCUUUACUAUAGCUUUGCACUGGACUUUGAAUUUGCUUGUGUAGGAUAGGUGGGAGGCUUUGAAGUGGGGACGCCAGUUCUCAUGGAGCCAUCCUUGAAAUACCACCCUGGCAACUUUGAGGUUCUAACUCAGGUCCGUUAUCCGGAUCGAGGACAGUGUAUGGUGGGUAGUUUGACUGGGGCGGUCUCCUCCCAAAGAGUAACGGAGGAGUACGAAGGUGCGCUCAGACCGGUCGGAAAUCGGUCGUAGAGUAUAAAGGCAAAAGCGCGCUUGACUGCGAGACACACACGUCGAGCAGGUACGAAAGUAGGUCUUAGUGAUCCGGUGGUUCUGUAUGGAAGGGCCAUCGCUCAACGGAUAAAAGGUACUCCGGGGAUAACAGGCUGAUACCGCCCAAGAGUUCAUAUCGACGGCGGUGUUUGGCACCUCGAUGUCGGCUCAUCACAUCCUGGGGCUGAAGUAGGUCCCAAGGGUAUGGCUGUUCGCCAUUUAAAGUGGUACGCGAGCUGGGUUUAGAACGUCGUGAGACAGUUCGGUCCCUAUCUGCCGUGGACGUUUGAGAUUUGAGAGGGGCUGCUCCUAGUACGAGAGGACCGGAGUGGACGAACCUCUGGUGUUCCGGUUGUCACGCCAGUGGCAUUGCCGGGUAGCUAUGUUCGGAAGAGAUAACCGCUGAAAGCAUCUAAGCGGGAAACUUGCCUCAAGAUGAGAUCUCACUGGGAUCUUGAAUCCCCUAAAGGGCCGUCGAAGACUACGACGUUGAUAGGUUGGGUGUGUAAGCGCUGUGAGGCGUUGAGCUAACCAAUACUAAUUGCCCGUGAGGCUUGACCAU
rnacentral:rRNA from 1 species